AUAAAAAUAGCAUUUAUACCGUAGACAGCAGGUGCCGACAGGCUUAAUUUCCCGCCGAGGUAAUCCUAUAUAAACAGCAGGUCGUUUGCUGUUUAACGGAACCUCCAUGUCUACUGGCAUGGAGGUUUUUUACUUGUGUA
rfam:Bacillaceae bacterium MTCC 8252 Contig78, whole genome shotgun sequence.